rnacentral:rRNA from 1 species
GGUGGAGCAUGUGGUUUAAUUCGAUGCAACGCGAAGAACCUUACCUGGUCUUGACAUCCACGGAAGUUUUCAGAGAUGAGAAUGUGCCUUCGGGAACCGUGAGACAGGUGCUGCAUGGCUGUCGUCAGCUCGUGUUGUGAAAUGUUGGGUUAAGUCCCGCAACGAGCGCAACCCUUAUCCUUUGUUGCCAGCGGUCCGGCCGGGAACUCAAAGGAGACUGCCAGUGAUAAACUGGAGGAAGGUGGGGAUGACGUCAAGUCAUCAUGGCCCUUACGACCAGGGCUACACACGUGCUACAAUGGCGCAUACAAAGAGAAGCGACCUCGCGAGAGCAAGCGGACCUCAUAAAGUGCGUCGUAGUCCGGAUUGGAGUCUGCAACUCGACUCCAUGAAGUCGGAAUCGCUAGUAAUCGUGGAUCAGAAUGCCACGGUGAAUACGUUCCCGGGCCUUGUACACACCGCCCGUCACACCAUGGGAGUGGGUUGCAAAAGAAGUAGGUAGCUUAACCUUCGGGAGGGCGCUUACCACUUUGUGAUUCAUGACUGGGGUGAAGUCGUAACAAGGUAACCGUAGGGGAACCUGCGGUUGGAUCACCUCCUU